rnacentral:snRNA from 1 species
GAGUGUGAAGGCAGUCUCGCUGUGACAUCUGUCAUCCUGUUGAUCAACGGGGUUGAUUCACUGAUCUAGCUGACUAAGCCAGUGUCCCCUUCCUCCCUCACUGCUCCAUGCAAUAUCCCUUGCAAAGCUUUGAGCUGUGGAUGAGGAUGACCUUUCUGAUAGAGGAGGACCAUUCUUUGGUCAAAGGUAUAUGAGUAGCUACACUCCCCUAUUAGACCCUCCACACAAGGCCAACGUUCCCAGGUCUGCACUCUUAUGUUCAAGUCCCUCUAUCGUGACUGGGAGAGCACCAGGUCCACGGACAGAGUACCAUGGGCUUCCCUCUAACAACUGGACUUCUGUCCACAGGU